rnacentral:rRNA from 1 species
CCUAACACAUGCAAGUCGAACGGAUCCUUCGGGAUUAGUGGCGGACGGGUGAGUAACACGUGGGAACGUGCCCUUUGGUUCGGAACAACUCAGGGAAACUUGAGCUAAUACCGGAUGUGCCCUUCGGGGGAAAGAUUUAUCGCCAUUGGAGCGGCCCGCGUCUGAUUAGCUAGUUGGUGAGGUAAAGGCUCACCAAGGCGACGAUCAGUAGCUGGUCUGAGAGGAUGAUCAGCCACAUUGGGACUGAGACACGGCCCAAACUCCUACGGGAGGCAGCAGUGGGGAAUCUUGCGCAAUGGGCGAAAGCCUGACGCAGCCAUGCCGCGUGAAUGAUGAAGGUCUUAGGAUUGUAAAAUUCUUUCACCGGGGACGAUAAUGACAGUACCCGGAGAAGAAGCCCCGGCUAACUUCGUGCCAGCAGCCGCGGUAAUACGAAGGGGGCUAGCGUUGCUCGGAAUUACUGGGCGUAAAGGGAGCGUAGGCGGACUGUUAAGUUAGAGGUGAAAGCCCAGGGCUCAACCUUGGAAUUGCCUUUGAUACU